AUGCACACACUCACUCACACACAGCAAGCGCACAUUGCAAAGCACAAUCGCAGCUCGAUCGCACGCACUAGCUUGCACGCUCCGUCGCAAAUGGCCAUGGCACCCAGAGCGCUGCUCCUCCUGGCCGUCGGGCUCGUGAUCGCAGCCUCGGCGAGCGCCCACGGCGGCUACGAGGGGUCGUGCCCCAAGGACGGGCUGAAGCUGAAGGCGUGCGUGGACGUGCUGGGCCUGCUCAAGCUCAAGGUGAACGUGCCGCGCCAUGAGCCUUGCUGCUCGCUCCUGGACGGGCUCGUCGGCUUGGACGCGGCGCUCUGCCUCUGCGCAAACAUCGACGCCAAUGUGCUCGGCCUCAACCUCCACCUCCCCGUCGACCUCCGCCUCAUCCUCAACAACUGCGGCAAGGUCUGCCCCACCGAUUUCCGGUGCCCACCACGCCACUAA
rnacentral:rRNA from 1 species